UAAAGGGAGUCGUCAAGGUGACUAACAUCCUUCAUCCCAUCCCUUCUCCUGGCUGCUCCUGGGACCAGCACAGCCCUUGUCUGCGAAGGGAGAAGAAAGGGGUUCACUGACUCACAUGGGCCUAAACAAAACAUCAGCCCCAAUGGGGGCUCCUAGCUCACCAGUCACAGACACUAGCGUCUCUGAGGAGAUACCGAGAUCAUCAGAACAAUCCCUCUCAGCAACCACCAUGGGCAAAGCAACCAUGAGAAGUUCAAGCCUUCAAAACAGGGGGCAAUAGCCCAGGCCCACUCCUCUAAAACUGCAGAUAAGUCUGAUGCUACAACAGGAAAAAGAACACAAAACAAUGUCACUGUGGAAUAGUUUAACUGCCAACUACCCCACUUCCCCUGGCACACUUCUGACAAGCUCCAAAAGAUUGAAAAGGCACUGGAACUAGGGCUCUGAGCUUCUCUGAGCUGGUAAGCUCUGCUCUGUUCAGGCAUUUAGUCAUUUCUCCAAAAAGCAGAAGUUGAGUUUCAAAGAAUGAACAUGUCUCAAAUCAUAAUUGCAAAAUGUGAAAGGAGACACUCCAGGAGAGAAAUGGAAAGGAACACAGACAAGCAUCGUGACAGCAGAGGUCAGGCAGGAGCCUCCUUGACCCUCAUCGCUUCCUCAGGACAUUGAUUUCUGCAUUUUCCCUCUAGACCCCAGGACUUUAAAAGGUGUUCCAUCAGACUACAGACAGCCACUAGUUGUGAGAUACCAGUUUUUAAGGUGAUACAUACAACAUGAAGAUAAUGGUUACUGAGUGGUGUGUGUGAUUACAUUAAAGAAAGUCCUAUUGGGACUAAGUAGAUAGCAUGUUAAUAAGCUAAAAAUGCAGUGCUGUGAAUGGUUGAUAAAACUACACACCUGGCUUCAUUCUGAACCUGGGUUUGUCUCUCUGGGACAUGUGAGCCUUCUUGUGAGACAUGGGGGCAGUGAUUGCAGAGAAAUUUUAAGGCACCAAGGGGACCACUGAACAUCAAUCUAAUUCAAGCCAGUGCUGUCAGCAGUGUUCGUGCUGGGGCAGGUGGGUGUGUGGGCUAUUCGCCUGCUGGCUUUGAAUAGCCCCACCCUCAGCUCUUUAAAGCAGCUUCAGGACCCACCAUGUCUCCCUGAGGGCAUCUACCCCAGGUUCAAGUCAGCCCUAAGGUCUAGGAGGAUCAGGAGGGUAGGACAUUCUAA